GUACAGAAAAGAAAAUUAAAGUCUUUCCUCCUGGACUGUAGAAUAAUGGACAACAUUUCUACCAGUAGUGUCUGACAAAGAUUGUCACGUUCAGUCAUCAGUGUCAUCUGCCAAGUCUCUGUGACUGAGAACUUGCCUAACAUCUCCUAAGCACUUUCCCUCAGUAAGUUUGUGAAAGGAAGCCAGCAGGAUCAGGAAGCCACCGGAAAGAAGAAAGCCAUUACUUUAUCUCCCGGAGGACAGCAAAGGACCAGUGUUACCCUGAAACAGGCUAGAAAUGGAAGAACAAAAUAAGUAUCUACAAAAUCCUACCCUGAAAUUCAGAUAAUGGACUCAUAGAAGGGCUUGGGUUGGAAGAGAGCAGGUUUCCCAGAGCUCCAUCCAACUUGGCAGGUCUCCUCCAGACACCUGAGCAGACCUGGCAUACGGACACCUAUGAGCAGAAGAGCACAGCUCCACUCACGGAGCCCUCACCAGCACCCUUCUCAGACACAGACACUCAAGGGAAGCACAGAAGGGCAUGAGUACAUUCUAUCACAUGAUUGGUCCCAUAAAUUGGUGGUAUUUAAAGUUAACCAUAUUUUGAAGUGUUUUGCUGGAUCAAACAUUAAGCCAAGGAUUUCUCAGUUCAAACAUCUAAGCUAAUAUCCUCUACCUCAGUGUCUUAGGAAAUGAGAAACUAUUUCUCUGCAAGAAAAUGAUAAACCACGCAAAGUCAAAUUAAAGUGCAGACAAGAGAUUGCAAAAAUGUAAUCCACAGAAGAAUGUGAAUUUUAAAAAGUGAAGUUAAGACAAAUUUUGAACUGAUCCAUGAAGAGAGACACCACUCAUUUUUUUUCUAAAGCAUUAAAUGCAAAAUUCACUGCUAUUUUCUAGAACAAUUGUAAAAUUUAGAGUGAAAUACUACUUUUGCUAGUUUAACCUUUAACAAAUAGAAGUCCUCUGCAACUGCAAGUAAGUAAAUGAAUGAAUGAAUGAAUAAAUAAAUAAAUAAAUAAAUAGAGCAACAGGAACAGCUAACUGAACAAGCCAAAGUGAUUCCACUCUAUAUCUCCACUCUAUAUCUUCCACUCUAUAUCUUACUGACAUUUUUACUAAAUGUAAAUGUUUUAGGAGCCAACUCAUUUGACAAAGUGACACAAUUGCAAAUUUUGUAAAUGAGGCAAAUCAGUUUGGAAGGAAAUACUGUUCAUAUCUUGUUUCCAAAAACAGUAUAUCUAGUGUAUAGUUGACAUGCAAUUGCUGCCAGCAACUCACAUUUAAUGAAAUAUUACUGCAUCAUAUAUCAAGAAAAUUAUGCACAAAAGCUUUAAAAAUUGAUAAUGUGCAAAUUGUCAUCAAAGCUGUGAAUUUUGUAAAGUCCAAGGAACUGAAUCAUCAACAAUUUUAGGAGCUCUUUAAUAUGGAUGCUGAUUAAGGGGACAUCAUUUACUUUUCUAAAAUAAGGUGUCUCAAAGGGAAAAAUACUGUAACGAUUUUAUGAUUUGCAAAAUGAAAUCAAGUCAUUUUGUGGAAUCAAAAAUUUUAGCCAUAAGUUGAAGAUGAAGAAUGGCUCAUAGAUUUACCAUUUUUAGAGGAUUUGACUCCUCAUUCAAAUGAGUUAAAUGUGAGUCUUCAGAGUGAAAAUCAACUUAUUAGUUCUAUGUUUCAAAUCAUAACAGUUUUUGAAUUGAAACUUAAAUUACUCCAAGGUCAAGUCAUGACAAGUAAUUUUAUGCAUUUUGAUACAUUGGCUAAACACAUCCUUGUAAAAAGAAAAAGCUGUACAACCUUAUUUUCCAUUUUGAUAAGGAAUUUGAAAGUAGGUUUCAAUAAUACUAAAAAAUCAUCUUUUUUUUUUUUAUAUAUUUAAGAUUCAAU
rnacentral:lncRNA from 7 species